AUUGAACGCUGGCGGCAUGCUUUACACAUGCAAGUCGAACGGUAACAGGGUGCUUGCACCGCUGACGAGUGGCGAACGGGUGAGUAAUGCGUCGGAACGUGCCGAGUAGUGGGGGAUAACGCAGCGAAAGUUGUGCUAAUACCGCAUACGUACUGAGGUAGAAAGUGGGGGACCUUCGGGCCUCACGCUAUUCGAGCGGCCGACGUCUGAUUAGCUAGUAGGUGAGGUAAAGGCUCACCUAGGCGACGAUCAGUAGCGGGUCUGAGAGGAUGAUCCGCCACACUGGGACUGAGACACGGCCCAGACUCCUACGGGAGGCAGCAGUGGGGAAUUUUGGACAAUGGGCGAAAGCCUGAUCCAGCCAUGCCGCGUGUCUGAAGAAGGCCUUCGGGUUGUAAAGGACUUUUGUCAGGGAGGAAAUCCCUAGUGCUAAUACCGCUGGGGGAUGACAGUACCUGAAGAAUAAGCACCGGCUAACUACGUGCCAGCAGCCGCGGUAAGAC
rnacentral:rRNA from 1 species